AUACGGAGGGUCCGAGCGUUAAUCGGAAUUACUGGGCGUAAAGCGCGCGUAGGUGGUUCAGUCAGUCAGAUGUGAAAGCCCCGGGCUCAACCUGGGAGCUGCACCUGAUACUGCUGAGCUAGAGUACGGUAGAGGGCAGUGGAAUUUCCGGUGUAGCGGUGAAAUGCGUAGAGAUCGGAAGGAACACCAGUGGCGAAGGCGACUGCCUGGACUGAUACUGACACUGAGGUGCGAAAGCGUGGGUAGCAAACAGGAUUAGAUACCCUGGUAGUCCACGCCGUAAACGAUGUCAACUAGCCGUUGGGGGACUUGAUCCUUUAGUGGCGAAGCUAACGCGAUAAGUUGACCGCCUGGGGAGUACGGCCGCAAGGUUAAAACUCAAAUGAAUUGGCGGGG
rnacentral:rRNA from 1 species